rnacentral:rRNA from 1 species
CAAUAGCGUAUAUUAAAGUUGUUGCAGUUAAAAAGCUCGUAGUUGGAUUUCUGAUCGAGACAUCAGGUCGGGUCCGAGAGGAUCAAGUACUUUGAUUUUGUUUUGAUCAUCCUUGGGGAGAGCAUUUCUGGCAUUCAGUUGUCGGGAUUGGGAUCCUCAUCGUUUACUGUGAAAAAAUUAGAGUGUUCAAAGCAGGCCUCGGCCUCUGAAUACAUUAGCAUGGAAUAAUAAGAUAGGACUUUGGUGGUCUAUUUUGUUGGUUUGCACGCCAAAGUAAUGAUUAAUAGGGAUAGUUGGGGGUAUUCGUAUUCAAUUGUCAGAGGUGAAAUUCUUGGAUUUAUGGAAGACGAACUACUGCGAAAGCAUUUACCAAGGAUGUUUUCAUUAA